GAUGAACGCUGGCGGCGUGCCUAAUACAUGCAAGUCGAGCGAACAGAUGAGGAGCUUGCUCCUCUGACGUUAGCGGCGGACGGGUGAGUAACACGUGGAUAACCUACCUAUAAGACUGGGAUAACUUCGGGAAACCGGAGCUAAUACCGGAUAAUAUAUUGAACCGCAUGGUUCAAUUGUGAAAGACGGUUUUGCUGUCACUUAUAGAUGGAUCCGCGCCGCAUUAGCUAGUUGGUAAGGUAACGGCUUACCAAGGCAACGAUGCGUAGCCGACCUGAGAGGGUGAUCGGCCACACUGGAACUGAGACACGGUCCAGACUCCUACGGGAGGCAGCAGUAGGGAAUCUUCCGCAAUGGGCGAAAGCCUGACGGAGCAACGCCGCGUGAGUGAUGAAGGUCUUCGGAUCGUAAAACUCUGUUAUUAGGGAAGAACAAAUGUGUAAGUAACUAUGCACGUCUUGACGGUACCUAAUCAGAAAGCCACGGCUAACUACGU
rnacentral:rRNA from 1 species